rnacentral:siRNA from 1 species
UCUGAGUAGUCGUGUGUCGGCCA